AUGCCGAUCUCUUUUGCAGCCCAAUAACCUUCGACCCGGUCCAACCCACCACCAUCUCCUCUUCUUAACUGUAAACAACAUCGCCAAACACACCACCAGUGAACAACAAAACACCAAAAAUAGCAAAACCUGACCCAGCUUGACUCCGACAACUAAUGACACCCAACAUCGACAGAACCCGACUAGUUCACUGAUUCAACGACAGCGAACCCAUUAACCCGAAGUCACCCCAUGAUUACAGCGACAACGAAUCGUUCGACCACAACAGCUCAGCAUCAAACUGUUUUGUAAGAUUUUCGUACAAUUCUACAGCUCAUCCCUAUCCUCCUCAACUUCAAAUUCAAAUUUCUCCUUUAAAAAAUCCAAAAAUACCUUUGUUUUUUCAUUUUCCGCCCACAUCGGUGGAAAUAUAAUUGGGUUCCCAAAAUUCAUCGUAUAAAUAGCUCAUUUGGGAGAAAAAACAACCAAGUCUUGAAGGUUGGAAAAAAUACUUUCAAGCAAAGAGUUAUUUUCUAGGAAACAAUUUUUUUUGCGAAAAGUAGUCCACUACUCAGAGUCAUCGGAAUCGCAUCAAAGCUUUUCGGUGGUGGUUGAACUUCCUUCACAGGCUUGAGUCCUGUUUUGCUGCUCCAAAAUAGCCCGCUUUCGAGUUCAAAUGGACUAUUUCCCAUUGUUGCAUUAUCGAUAUGGACCAUUGAGGUCCAUCCCUCCCAAGUCAAUUUUGAAGGCCCAAAAAGACAAUCAUAUUACAUACGGAUGCGAGAAGAUGGAAGAAGCAGAAAUGGGUAGAAACCCAUUGACAAUGUGGCUAAAAGAAUUGAAAAUCUCGUGACAUUUUAUUAUUAUCAUUAUACUAUUAUUAUUGUUUUGCUUGUCUUAUUUCAUUCAGUUAUUUAUUUAUUCAUUCA